ensembl:lncRNA
ACACACACACACGUUUAUUUAUUUAUAUCUACAUCUGGCUCUUUUUUCAUAUGCAAUGUUAUCUAUCUAGCCAUCCAUCUUAUAGUUUAGAUAAUGUCCCCAAUUGAAUCACUAACUUCCGUGAUUAAAAAUAAACAUAUUUUUAUCACACCAAUGCCAUUCAAUAGCUUACCAUUUUUAAAGUGAGACACACGAACUAACAAGCAUAGAGGAUGAUUUAUUUAUUAUUUGAAUACAUCAUCUUAUUACCAUGAUCAAAGUCAAUCGGUCGCAUCAAUGUCACGUCAUAAUGUGUGAAGCACAGAAACUAAUCUUCAUGUAAAGUCGUGUUUUACCCCCCAACCCCAACCCUUCCCCAAAGUAAACAAGUUUUAACGAAGGAGAGACCAGUUCUGUAUACUAAUUUUUCUCUGUAGCACAAAUCGUCUUUCAUAAAACUAAAAUAAAGCUUUAGUCAAAAAGAAAAACUAUCGAAAAGGUAGACAAACGUGUCCUUUUUUCUUUAUGAUUAUACUUCGCUAAAACUCCUCACCUGUUGAUUUGUCUAAAGCUGUAGUCGGUCACAAAAGAGCGAGUUGCAUCCGUUCCACGGUCCACCAUUGCAACCAUCGCCCUGAGAAACCACUACAACCACCAGUGGACCGAGACAACACAUCAACCACUGUGACAACGUAGUCUGCAUGCGUCUGCAAGCGCCACUGUACAAGUUGGGAUGUACAUCUAUACACACACACACACACUCACACACGCUUCGUAAACGGAGUCUAUGGUGAAGGUUUCUAGGCAGCUCACAAACCAGUGAUAAUGGAAGAAGCAAGUAUAACCGUCGUCGUAAGUGCAAUCCCCGGUCUUCUGUCGGUCGUUCGAUUCGGCCCGGGAGCAUGACAGUGAUGCAUCGUGUAACCUUACCGUCUAUUCGUAGUUGGUACAUCUAUAGACAGUACAAGUGGGUCAUGCAACAUGGCUUUUUAUAUUACUUUACAAUCAUGUGUGUGUGUCACUUUACAAUUAACGUGGAAUCUUUUUUGUACAUGGCAUAAGAAGGUACUCCAUUAAAAAGAUGACACACGUUUCCAUUCUUAUCACAACAAUAACAUUGAAAUCUUAAAUCCUGAGAAUUAAAAAAAAUCAUAAACACAACCAAUGGGCGGGUCAGACACUAACGCACGUCGGCUCCGACGAGACUUUGAUGCAACAAAACACGAGCAAAAGUCCAUGUGUUCUGCCUCAGGGAGUGGGUUCGCGGUCCUGGCCCCCACAACUAUUUUAGGCCUUGGCCAGAACUAAAAAUGUAGUUUGCGUGUGUACAACUCUUCUAACCUUCCUCUAGAUGUCAGUCUAAAACCCAGCGCCCAGACACCACAAUCAUCCUUGGGCCAUCUUUAAGGGACAUGGAAUCUGUAAUCCCUAACGAUAAUCGGAACAUAAUAUGGCUAUAGGUGAUCAUUGACUUUAAAGUAUACAUAAAACCUCUGCUUACAAAGUGUCUCUCUGAGCUCGUUCAUGUUGGGAAUCAGAGUGAGGGCGCACAACAUACAAAUAUACAACCUCAACCAUAGAUAAUAAUAACAAGCCGAUCACAUUUCACAGCAGGCAUCUCCCUGCUUUGCAUCUCAUGUAUUCGCUUCCUCUAGCAAAGCACACACAAAAAUAGACAUUUCGGCACUUUAAAUAUCGUAAUUACUCAGAAUGAAUCUAUGUUUCGACUUAACUCGAUGCAAUGAAUAAGGACGUCCUCACAGGAAAAUAUACAAAUCCAGUUUGUUAUAUAAUUAAUAUGCUCGGUCGAUUUCACCGCGGGAACGUGAAGUGUUAUGUUGCGGAUCUAUAGAAAUGUCGUAGUGGACAUCACAGUUAAAGGAACCCGGGUCAGUGCAUUUCAUAGAUCAGCAAGCAACGUGCUCCCAGUCUCAACACAAACUGACCUGCUGCUUCAAAUCUCAGCUAACCACACAGGAAGUCAGAGCGUACCGUCUAACCCCGGGAAUCUCUAGUGCACGCCUGGGCCGGUGGUUGACUCAUCGCUACAGUGUCUGACGUCAGCACGGUGCCUUAGAUACGCUGAUUAGUGUGCGGGGAGUCACGGCGCGAGGCUCUGGGGCGGGGAGAGAGGGAGGAAGGAGAGGGGGACUAAUUCAACAUUCUCGUCUUGACCAGAGGGAGGUGUCGUGGUGGAUGGACUGCAGGCACCCCAGCAGCUGGUGGUAGGAGGUGCCCGGGGAGGCCACGGUCUCGAACACCGACUGGAAGGCGCGUCGGUCCAGCUCCUCGUCGAUCUGGUGCCGGUAGAAGUCCAUGGCUACCAGGCAGAAGAGGUUCACGUCCACCACCUCGCUGCUGCCCAUCCUGCUGAUCACGUGGGGCAGUCUGGGAGAGCCGGGGGGUCAAGGACCACACACCAGGUGGAGGUGAGACACACACCACACACACAGGUGGACAUACACAUACACACAAAUAUAUCCAUACAGACCUAUACACUCACACACACCCAGGCGCACACAAACACACACAU